GAUGAACGCUGGCGGCGUGCCUAAUACAUGCAAGUCGAACGCUGGAAAUCUAGCUUGCUCGAUUGAAGGAGUGGCGAACGGGUGAGUAAUACAUAAGCAACCUACCCACGAAGACUGGGAUAAUCUCUGGAAACGGGGACUAAUACCGGAUAGGUAAUCGGAAGGCAUCUUCUGAUUAUUAAAGGUUAAAAACACUGGUGGAUGGGCUUAUGGCGCAUUAGUUAGUUGGUGAGGUAACGGCCCACCAAGACGAUGAUGCGUAGCCGGCCUGAGAGGGUGAACGGCCACAUGGGGACUGAGACACGGCCCAGACUCCUACGGGAGGCAGCAGUAGGGAAUUGUCGGCAAUGGGGGAAAACCUGACCGAGCAACGCCGCGUGAGUGAUGACGGCCUUCGGGUUGUAAAGCUCUGUUGUAAGGGAAGAACGGUAGAUAGAGAAUAUCUAAAUGACGGUACCUUACCAGAAAGCCACGGCUAACUACGUG
rnacentral:rRNA from 1 species